rnacentral:lncRNA from 1 species
CGCUUCCUUGGUGAAAGACCCCAACAGAACUUAGAAUGCUAGUAACCAGGCACCCACAUUCUACUAAAAGCCCUAUAGGCAGCUUACUUGACAGCAAAUGCUCAAGAGAGCAAAAUGUCCUCCUGCUGGAUCCUGACUUUCCAAGGCUCUCACUUCAGGUCUUCCUGAGGGAUGCCAAGGAUGCCAACAUGGGCUUAUUUCUCACCUCAGAUGCCUCUGGCCAAUUGGCAAGGGGCACCCACAGAGAGCUCCAAUCCUGUUUCAGCUGCCAACUCAAAUGCUGCUUUCUACAUGAUAUACCUCCUGCAAUAAAGCUCUAAGAUGGAAGAAAGACUAUGAAAUAAAGAGCAUUUUUUAGUAUUCUAGAAAAUACUGAGGUCUGAAUAGCAUCCUGGAGUUCAUCAGUUGAUGUGGCCUGUGAGCUCUACAAUUGGCCUCCC